rnacentral:rRNA from 1 species
GACGAACGCUGGCGGCGUGCUUAACACAUGCAAGUCGAACGAUGAAGCCUAGCUUGCCAGGUGGAUUAGUGGCGAACGGGUGAGUAAUACGUGAGUAACCUACCUUUAACUCUGGGAUAAGCCUGGGAAACUGGGUCUAAUACCGGAUACGACCAAUCUCCGCAUGGGGUGUUGGUGGAAAGCGUUAUGUAGUGGUUAUAGAUGGGCUCACGGCCUAUCAGCUUGUUGGUGAGGUAACGGCUCACCAAGGCGACGACGGGUAGCCGGCCUGAGAGGGUGACCGGCCACACUGGGACUGAGACACGGCCCAGACUCCUACGGGAGGCAGCAGUGGGGAAUAUUGCACAAUGGGCGCAAGCCUGAUGCAGCGACGCCGCGUGAGGGAUGACGGCCUUCGGGUCGUAAACCUCUGUUAGCAGGGAAGAAGAGAGAUUGACGGUACCUGCAGAGAAAGCGCCGGCUAACUACGUG